UCCUGCCUCCCCAAAACGAGUACCAAAAGAUUCAAAGAAGAAGCCCCCAAACCAAAUGGAAAAGCAAAGUUCCUUUAUGGGUGGGAAGCGUCGUUUGGGGAAAAAGAAAUUUGACAAGGACCAUAAACCUCUCACCAAAUGCAACUCUGCCGCCUCUUU
rnacentral:ribozyme from 1 species